rnacentral:rRNA from 1 species
GUCGAGAAUCUUCCGCAAUGCGCGAAAGCGUGACGGAGCGACACCGCGUGAUGGAUGAAGUCCUUCGGGGCGUAAACAUCUUUUAUAAAGGAGGAAAUUUUUGACGUUACUUUAUGAAUAAGGGGCUCCCAAUCUCGUGCCAGCAGGAGCGGUAAUACGAGAGCCUCAAGCGUUAUCCGGAAUCAUUGGGCGUAAAGGGUGCGUAGGUGAUUUGAUUAGUCUCCCGUUAAAACUUCGAGCUUAACUCGAAAAGAGCGGGGGAAACGGUCAAACUAGAGUAUGUGAGAGGUGUGUGGAACUCAUGGUGUAGGGGUGAAAUCCGUUGAUAUCAUGGGGAACACCAAAAGCGAAGGCAGCACACUGGCACAUCACUGACACUGAGGCACGAAACCUAAGGUAGCGAAUGGGAUUAGAUACCCUGGUAGUCC